CUUUUGAGCUGGUGCUGUUUGGGAUGAUGACAGCUCAGAAAUCCCUGAUGGUGCAACCUGGUGGGUUCAUGGAGCGUCUGUACGCUCUCCUGUACUCCUUCCUGCCCACUGUUGCCAGCAUUGAGCCAAAGGCUGAGAGAUACCUGUUGCUGCUCAAUGGCGGGCUGAUGGCUCUGCUAGAUGACAUGUUUGGGCAGCAGCUGGCCUGGUACUUUAACCGAGAGUCUCUGGUCACUGAGCUCUCCAGC